rnacentral:rRNA from 1 species
CCUACGGGGCGCAGCAGUGGGGAAUAUUGGACAAUGGGCGAAAGCCUGAUCCAGCCAUGCCGCGUGUGUGAAGAAGGCCUUCGGGUUGUAAAGCACUUUCAGUGGGGAAGAAAGCCUUGGGGCUAAUACCCUCGAGGAAGGACAUCACCCACAGAAGAAGCACCGGCUAACUCCGUGCCAGCAGCCGCGGUAAUACGGAGGGUGCGAGCGUUAAUCGGAAUUACUGGGCGUAAAGCGCGCGUAGGCGGUCUGAUAAGCCGGUUGUGAAAGCCCCGGGCUCAACCUGGGAACGGCAUCCGGAACUGUCAGGCUAGAGUGCAGGAGAGGAAGGUAGAAUUCCCGGUGUAGCGGUGAAAUGCGUAGAGAUCGGGAGGAAUACCAGUGGCGAAGGUGGCCUUCUGGACUGACACUGACGCUGAGGUGCGAAAGCGUGGGUAGCAAACAGGAUUAGAUACCCCGGUAGUC